rnacentral:rRNA from 1 species
AUUGAACGCUGGCGGCAGGCCUAACACAUGCAAGUCGAGCGGAUGAAGGGAGCUUGCUCCUGGAUUCAGCGGCGGACGGGUGAGUAAUGCCUAGGAAUCUGCCUGGUAGUGGGGGAUAACGUCCGGAAACGGGCGCUAAUACCGCAUACGUCCUGAGGGAGAAAGUGGGGGAUCUUCGGACCUCACGCUAUCAGAUGAGCCUAGGUCGGAUUAGCUAGUUGGUGGGGUAAGGGCCUACCAAGGCGACGAUCCGUAACUGGUCUGAGAGGAUGAUCAGUCACACUGGAACUGAGACACGGUCCAGACUCCUACGGGAGGCAGCAGUGGGGAAUAUUGGACAAUGGGCGAAAGCCUGAUCCAGCCAGGCCGCGUGUGUGAAGAAGGUCUUCGGAUUGUAAAGCACUUUAAGUUGGGAGGAAGGGCAGUAAGUUAAUACCUUGCUGUUUUGACGUUACCAACAGAAUAAGCACCGGCUAACUUCGUG